GCCCAGAACUCCGUUUCCCCGGGAGUCCAUGUGACGUCACCCUGGAAGGUGUGUAUAAAUGUAAGCACGCGGGCGUUUCAAGUCAGUUCCUGGCAAUCUACAGCUGGAGAAAGAACUCCCCUCUAGUCUUUUUCGUUCACUAUAACAAACGGUAAACCAAAAUGUGUGACGACGAAGUAGCUGCGUUGGUUGUCGACAAUGGCUCAGGAAUGUGCAAAUCCGGCUUUGCGGGAGAUGACGCCCCCCGUGCUGUAUUCCCUUCAAUUGUCGGCAGACCACGUCACCAGGGUGUGAUGGUUGGUAUGGGUCAGAAGGACUCUUAUGUCGGUGAUGAGGCCCAGAGCAAGAGAGGUAUCCUCACCCUGAAGUACCCAAUCGAGCACGGUAUCGUAACUAACUGGGAUGACAUGGAGAAGAUCUGGCAUCAUACUUUCUACAAUGAACUUCGUGUUGCCCCCGAAGAGCACCCCGUUCUCCUGACGGAGGCUCCCCUGAACCCAAAGGCCAACAGGGAAAAGAUGACCCAGAUUAUGUUUGAGACCUUCAACACCCCAGCCAUGUACGUGGCCAUCCAGGCCGUGCUCUCCCUGUACGCCUCCGGUCGUACCACAGGUAUUGUGCUCGACUCUGGAGAUGGUGUCUCCCACACUGUGCCCAUCUACGAGGGUUAUGCACUUCCUCACGCCAUCCUCCGUCUGGACUUGGCAGGUCGUGACUUGACCGAUUACCUCAUGAAGAUCCUGACCGAACGUGGCUACACCUUCACUACCACCGCCGAGCGAGAAAUCGUUCGAGACAUCAAGGAAAAGCUCUGCUACGUUGCAUUGGACUUUGAGCAGGAAAUGACCACUGCCGCCUCCUCUUCUUCCCUGGAGAAGUCUUACGAGCUCCCUGACGGUCAGGUCAUCACCAUCGGUAACGAGAGGUUCAGGUGCCCAGAGGCUCUGUUCCAGCCAUCCUUCCUGGGUAUGGAAUCUUGCGGCAUUCACGAGACCACCUACAAUUCCAUCAUGAAGUGCGACGUCGAUAUCCGUAAGGACUUGUAUGCCAACACUGUCUUGUCCGGUGGCACCACCAUGUACCCAGGAAUCGCUGACAGAAUGCAGAAGGAAAUCACUGCCCUGGCACCCUCCACUAUGAAGAUCAAGAUCAUCGCACCUCCCGAGCGCAAAUACUCAGUCUGGAUCGGCGGUUCUAUCUUGGCUUCUCUAUCGACCUUCCAACAGAUGUGGAUCAGCAAACAAGAGUACGAUGAGUCUGGACCCUCAAUUGUGCACAGGAAAUGCUUCUAAGUCAGUAUCUUUAUUUUUGCUUUAAUUGUAGAUAUUAAAUGUAUAGAUUACACGCAGAUUUUCUAUAUAACGUCUACACCUAAUUGUAAGGAUGCUAAUUUAAUUAAAUUAAUUUUGUA